rnacentral:tRNA from 1 species
AGGGAUGUAGUUCAAUGGUAGAACAUCGGUCUCCAAAACCGAGUGUUGGAAGUUCGAUUCUUUUCAUCCCUGCCA